rnacentral:rRNA from 1 species
UACGGGGGGGGCAAGCGUUGUUCGGAAUUACUGGGCGUAAAGGGCUCGUAGGCGGCCAACUAAGUCAGACGUGAAAUCCCUCGGCUUAACCGGGGAACUGCGUCUGAUACUGGAUGGCUUGAGUGUGGGAGAGGAAUGCGGAAUUCCAGGUGUAGCGGUGAAAUGCGUAGAGAUGUGGAGGAACACCAGUGGCGAAGGCGGCUUUCUGGUCUGUAACUGACGCUGAGGCGCGAAAGCGUGGGGAGCAAACAGG